rnacentral:lncRNA from 1 species
CUCCCGGCGCGGUCCCGGGGCGGCCGGCGCCGCUCCCCAUCGCGGCUCGAGCGCUCCGUGCGCGAAGUUACCGGCCCGAGCGGGACUCCCCGCGCGCUCGGCCCCCGCGGCUCCGCCCUCCGCGCCCGCACAAAGCGAUGCGGACGGGCGAGUUAUUCCGCGGCGCGGCGCCAGAGGGUCCGGAGAGAAACCCCGCGGCCGGGUACGAGCCCGCGUCUCUCCUGAACACGCCGGGAGUCGCCGCCCCGGCCCGGACCCCCCGCCCCGGUCACUCGCCGCGCAUCCCCCGAAAUGCGCAUCCUGAACACCAGCCUAGGCACAGGAACAGUGAGGGAGCCAGCAGUGUUCCAUGGGCACCAAAGCUGCCAUUCUAACUUAAUUCCUUGGCUCACCUGACCUUCCCUCACUCCAAAAGCACCUGAAUUUUGGGAUGUAAAAAGCUGUACAACUAUAAGCUGCAAGAAGAUUUCACAAACAGAGAGGAUUUUGUGUCUGUGACCUGUUAUAACCCAGAGAGAACAUGCAGUGGGAUUUGUAUUUUUCUACUGAGUAGCUAUUUUCAGAGGCAAAAAGCCAAGCACUUGCAUAACUCAAUGUGACCAUUCUGUGUAUCUGUGGCAUUUGUUACUGGACAACACUUUGACCGACAAUGUUGAGCUGGUAAAAGAAUGGGGCCUGCCUACAGACAGCAGCCAGUUUAAAUAUGAUAAAAAUUAGAGUAAAUAGGAUCUCAGUCCUUCCCCUUUUUUAAGUAAAUUGAGUAAUUUUCUGAGCAUGUGAAAAAAUAAUAAAAAACUUCUCUUCUGCCA